rnacentral:rRNA from 1 species
CCCGCUCAGAAACUUAAAGGAAUUGACGGGGCCCGCACAAGCGGUGGAGCAUGUGGUUUAAUUCGAUGAUACGCGAGGAACCUUGCCUGGGCUCAAAUGUAUGUUGACGUAUUCUGAAAGGGAUACUUCUUCGGACAAUAUACAAGGUGCUGCAUGGUUGUCGUCAGCUCGUGCCGUGAGGUGUCGGGUUAAGUCCCAUAACGAGCGCAACCCCUAUCAUUAGUUGCCAUCAGGUCAAGCUGGGGACUCUAAUGAAACUGCCUACGCAAGUAGUGAGGAAGGUGGGGAUGACGUCAAAUCAGCACGGCCCUUACGUCCAGGGCUACACACGUGCUACAAUGGCCGGUACAAAGGGCAGCUACCUGGUGACAGGAUGCUAAUCUCAAAAGCCGGUCUCAGUUCGGAUCGGAGUCUGCAACCCGACUCCGUGAAGCUGGAAUCGCUAGUAGUCGCGCAUCAGCCAUGGCGCGGUGAAUACGUUCCCGGGCCUU